AAUUUGUUAAUUUUUGCACUGGCAUAUACCUGAAACUUACUGUAGGUUUACAAUAACCAAUUUGUACGGGAAACAGACCCAGUUAUCAGGUUAUGCUGUGGGCCAAUCCCUACCCCGUUUGAAUAAUUCCAGGAUCCUCUUGUGAUACUUGUCCACAGUCUGUAAUUAUAGUCUUUCUAUAUUUCAUGUGUCUGUAAUUUUGUCGUUCAAUUUUUUUCAAAUUAUCAUCAAUAAAGGAAAAAAAUAUAUUCGAAAAAAAUCAACCAAAAUAUAAUUUGGCAAAAGCAGUUUGUGAUCAGAAAGAUUUCAUUGGGAAUCAUUUUUAAUCCUUGAAUUUUAACAUCUAUUCAUUAUUCAAUUCAAUUUGCAAUUACCAUUACUAUAAUAUAAGUAUUUUUUUUUCAUGUUUAAAAUGCAUCGGGAUCGAAAUGUCAAACUCCAGUCAUGUGGAAGCGCGCCAAGUAAGGAUCAAACGACCAUCACAACAAAAGAUUGAGCAAGAGGAUAGCUACAGGUGCGCAUGAUGCAACUUCCUGGAUGGUGUGUAGGCUGUUUGUCAACAUGUGAAUCCCACGUGCAUUUCGGGGAGUUGUCUCCCCUUGAAAAGAUCAAUAAUGGCGGAUAAACAAUGUGGCAUGAAGUCUUGUUACCAACCAACAGUUUUGACACCCGUAUACCCAUAUUUCUACCAAAUACCUCUGAAACCUUUGUUGUGUUUAUCACACAGAUGAUGGACCACUCUACUUCCUUUUACAACAGGUGCCCCUACAGAUUCACAAAGUUCCAGUGUUGAGUUUCCAUGACCCCUAUUCAUCCAUGACAGGAAAAGGAAUAAUGUUGACAGGAAUUUCCGCACUGUCCCUGGUAGCAGGUUAUGAUGGAACCAACAGCAGUAGACAGAGCAUGCUUCAUUAAAGGU